AGAAGUGUUUUUCCCUUUAUAUUUGACAUAACCCUUCUCAAUAGCCUUAGAAAUAUCCUGAAGGAAUACAACUUUUCCCAGCAUUUUAAAUUAAAUGGCUCAUUAAUGCACUGUACAGAACAGCACAAUAGAAUUCAGGUCUCCUUAACUAUGAAACGCUGUGCAAAACAACUUGAUGCUUAGUUAAUCUCUACACAAUUAGCUGCAUUUGCUAAUCAUCCCUGAUACUUUUUCACUAUGCAAAGUGGGAUUCAAAGAUUUUAUUUUGCUAAUCAUCUCAGUUUGAUCAGGAGAGAUGCUAAUCAUCUGUAGACAUUUGUAAUGACCCUUGAACAAAACUGAGUAAGACGAAAUUGAAGCUUUGACAAAGGAAAAAGAGCGGAAACAGAAGCAAUUAUGGCCCUGUGAAGUACACUUUUGCUUCUUUGAACCAGUUGCAAGAGAAUCACCUACUUGUUCAAGAAUACUUGCUCAGUGUAACUUUUAAUAUAUAAAGUGAAGGAAAAGUUGUGACUUCCAGGUUUUGGGGCAAAUUAGCAGGUGUCCUGUGCAUGAACAUUGAUGCAAGACCAUGAAGUUGGACCUAUGACGAUAAUGUGAACAAUGACCCAGGAAUAUGAUGCAAAGAAUCUUACUUUGGUAAAUAAAAGGAAAGAGACGGCCAGAAACAAAUUUUGGAGGGUAAAGCUUGGACACAGAAAGUCUGAAAAAGGAAACGGUAAUCUGGAGCAUUGUCUUUGAUGGAUUUGCUGACUCAAUCACCAGACCUUAACACUAUCGAGCUGUUAUGGGAAGACCUUUCCUGUA